AAAGUCAUAGCUCUCUCUCUUAGCUUUCCGGCGAUUUUUAGAACGCCUCAAACGGAUUCCCGGAACUCCAGUUAUGAUCGUUUCCGCGCAGACUGUUAAAGCUGAAAAAUAAGUGCGAAAAUUAAAUUAAACUAAAAAUAAAAUAAAAUAUGAAAACAUAACCGCGCAGACUGUUAAAGCUGAAAAAUAAGUGCGAAAAUUAAAUUAAACUAAAAAUAAAAUAAAAUAUGAAAACAUAAUAAAAUAUAAAAA
rnacentral:lncRNA from 1 species